rnacentral:snoRNA from 1 species
CCCUGGUCAUUGCUAGUGCAGGGAGAAGACACGGAAAGCCUUGCACCACAUUUGGAAGGUCACUCCUGUCUUUGCCAGACCUUGCUGCUUUCCUAUA